GUGUUCUUAUUGGUUAGCGGCUCAGCGCGAUGCGCGCGACUUGUGGGCUUCUCUUUUGCGGGGCGCUCGGCGCUGUGGGGGCUGUCUUGCUGCCGGCUGCUGUUCAGAGCGCAGCGCCGAGAGAACGGGCCGGCGGCGGCGACGCUUAGCCAUGCUGCGAUGGCGGGCUUUAUCUUACGGCCGCUCUCGCCUCAGGGAGGUGGGUGGCGAAGUGACCCAAGCUUGCGGGUGAGGCUGUGUCUCCGGCCGGCGGGAAGGGCGAUGCUCGGCUGCGAAGCCUGGACUGUGUGGUGGAUGGCUGAGCGCUGCCCUGCGUGCAGCGAGCCCGUGUCUGGCGCCUCGGGCUGCAUCGAGAACACAAUGCCAAUUUUUUUGGUCCUUCUCUACAAGAAAGGUGUUGACAAUUCCAUGCAAGUCCAAGGGAGGCCAGCCAUGAAGAGUGAAGAGAGGCUGAGGGAGCUGGGCUUUUUCUGUCUGGAGAAGAGAUGAUGGAGGGGCCACCUACUAGUAGCUCCUCAUUCCCAGGAUAAUUUUUACAAGAAAAGGGGCUGGUAUUACUGCAGAUUUCUUGCAUGACUACGCAGUGUCCCUUGUGAAGCCUUCCAGCAGAAAGCAGGGAAGUAUGUUGGGGUAGCCUUGCAGUUCCCACUUUACCAUGCAGCUAUCAACUUAGUUCUAUGAUUUUCUGAUGUAAUAAAACCAGAAAAUAUGAUUUGCUAAUUAUUGAAUGUAGAGAACUUGUUCUGUCCUUACGUGCUUACUUUGUCAUUCUAGAAAUGGCAGAACCAAUUCUGCCUAAAGUACCCCUCGUUCGUCUCACUGAGCAUCUGCUAUUGUUUUUAAUUGUUUUGGUCUUCCUCUUCUGGGGUAGAUUCCAUUUGCAUACUUGAGUUAUUUUUGGCACUUCACUGUCUAAAUUUGGUCAAACUAAUUCUGCACUUAUUUAUUCCUGUGUGGGACGCCUCUGUCUUGAUGAAUGUCCCAGAUCAAUGAUUUCAGAGAAGCUGUAAAAAGAAUAUUAACAGCAUUUGCGGAUAAUUUUUAAGUUAGAAGGUCCUACAAUCAGUAGGAAGAAAUAACAUAAUCCAAAAAUCUCGGAGACAGGAAACUGAAUGUAACUGAAUAGAGAGGAAAAAUAUGAACGUGUAUGUCUUUGGGGGGGGAAAAAAGUUCAAUUCGAAGGAAAACUUAGAUGAUGGUAAGAAUAGCUGAAGGAGAAAACGAAGAGCAAACUAAAUGUUUUAAUUCAGUGAUUGGGCUAAGGAAGGGACAAUAUAAUUAUUGAGUAUCAGAGAGAAUUGCUUUGAACAGAAGCUGGGUAGUGGCCUUCUUAAUAUAAUUUCCAUGAGACCGCUCAAAGAAAGUUGUAGCUAGGCUUGGGUAUGUCAUUAUCAGUAUGUUGUAAACAGAAGGGCACACUGUCAGAAUGGAUAGGUAAUUAGUUUUCUUUGGAAGAAGAGGGUAGUGGAAUGAAAUAAUUGCAGCAUGGCUGAGAAAAUAAAAUUUGGAAGACGUAUCAGUAAAUUUCAUACUGUAAGCACUUUUGAUGAAGAUUCUGAGUACGUAAUUAAAACAGCUAUAAAUAAGGGUUAGUCAUUAAAUAUUUUCACAGUAUGUACAGAUUCAUGAAGAAAAGAUUUUAAGAUGGAGCCGGACAACACUGGUAAGUAUAUUACAAGAGGGAAAUUCUUUGUGAUCUUUUUAUGUUAUGGUAUUGUUUUUGCUGAUAACAGAAUUCCUUGUCUAGCUAAGUCUUGCUCUCCGUGUUCAUGUGAGUUGUGUUGAUGCCCAAAAGUGGUCAGAAGACAAAGGGAAAGGUCAAGAAGCCUCUCAACAAUUUGGCUGUCCGUAUGCUACGACACUUUGCCAGCUUUAACCUGUGAAAUAAAAUUUUUUUCCCUGAGAAAAGAACACGGGACUUCAAUUUCAAAACAAGUUUAUUUAGUUCGCUCAUUCUGGAAAUCAGUCAGCUAAUUACUGUACCUUUGGAAGAAAAGUGGUAGAAAGGGAAUAAAAGCUAGAUGACAUUUAGGAUGUUUUUGGAGGUAAAAUAUUAAAGGAAAAAA